rnacentral:rRNA from 1 species
AGUGGACGCUGGCGGUAGGCCUAACACAUGCAAGUCGAACGGCAGCACAGUAAGAGCUUGCUCUUACGGGUGGCGAGUGGCGGACGGGUGAGGAAUACAUCGGAAUCUACUUUUUCGUGGGGGAUAACGUAGGGAAACUUACGCUAAUACCGCAUACGGCCUACGGGUGAAAGCAGGGGAUCUUCGGACCUUGCGCGAUUGAAUGAGCCGAUGUCGGAUUAGCUAGUUGGCGGGGUAAAGGCCCACCAAGGCGACGAUCCGUAGCUGGUCUGAGAGGAUGAUCAGCCACACUGGAACUGAGACACGGUCCAGACUCCUACGGGAGGCAGCAGUGGGGAAUAUUGGACAAUGGGCGCAAGCCUGAUCCAGCCAUACCGCGUGGGUGAAGAAGGCCUUCGGGUUGUAAAGCCCUUUUGUUGGGAAAGAAAAGCAGCAGGUUAAUACCCCGCUGUUCUGACGGUACCCAAAGAAUAAGCACCGGCUAACUUCGUG